UAGUCUAAAGGAAGUUAUUAUUGCAUAGAAAAGCUUGCCCCUGACAAAAGCAUUGCUUGCUUGUUGGAGACCUAGCAGUUCGUUAGGAAUCUGUUUUAUUACAGUGAAACAUCGUCUGUGUGGCAGCAAAGUACUCUGGAGCAGGUGUAAGCAAAGUGAACCUAAGUGUGAAAAAGAAUUUAAGCUUUGAGCCUGAAAAGUGGGUCUUGCAGAAGUCUGAUCAUGGAAGUCACAUGGGAUUUAGAAACUGCAGAUGAGUAUGGCACCAAGAUAGACCACUGUCUACUGCAGCCUGGACUGAGAUAGUCACUCUCAUGAUAAAUGUAAUUACAAAUGGUUUUUUUGACUAGAUGUUGGUAUUGGACAACUGUAUCUCUACGUUCCCUAGUGUUCCAUCUCCCAGGAUUGUAUCCAAAUGAAAAACAGAAGUCUCAACUGAGAUGGAGUGGAAAACUCCUGAGCAGGUAACGCUGAUAGAGUAAUACAAGACAGAAGACGGAGGGGAAAAACUAGCUAUGCAAGACUAGUGCUGCUGAAAAAAUGAAUGGGGCUACACCUAAUUUGUCUUAGAUGCUCUCAUGACAGCUCUCAUUUGGAUAAGCAUUACCCAUAAAUCUUCUUUCUAAUAAAGACUUACAAAACUGGAAACA
rnacentral:lncRNA from 1 species